AUGUCGGGGCGGCGCGGGCGCGGGCGCGGGCCGCCGACGCAGGCGGACCGCCUGAUGCGCGGGGCCAUCGACCACUUCGGACGGAUGGGCUACGCCGAGGCCGACAUCCGCAGCACCGUCGGGCAACUCAUCGAGGUCUAUGGUGAGGAUGCUUCGUCGUUCCUGAAGGAAGAUGACUACCGGGUCGUGCAGGACGCACUAUUUGAGAAGCAGGAGCAGGAAGAGCAGCAGCAGGAGCCUAAACAAAAGGAAGCAGCAAUCUCUGAGGCACCAACAGCAAGUGACAUGCCAAUUGUGGACAUGCACAAUGAGAUGCCACCUGGGGCUGAGUUAUCAGUUGAGGGAGCAGACCCUAUGCCCAUCGACCCGCCUGCUCCUGAGGCUACAAUGGCACAUCCUGCAGCUACAGGAACUAGUAGAGCAAGGCGUCCCUGCUAUGGAUGGAUUAGCGAAUCUGAGAGUGAUUCGGACUAUGAAGAAUACCUCGCCAGUCGACGACAGGCGACGCAUGCUCCAAUCCCAGGAAGCGGCUGA
rnacentral:rRNA from 1 species